rnacentral:lncRNA from 1 species
AAGAAGAAAGGAAAAAAGAAAAAAAGGAGGAAGAAGAAGAAGAAGAAAGGACCUUAAAACUUGGGUGGGUUUAGGUAUGAUUCUGAAUGGCAUUUUUUAUCAAUUUUCAGAUUACAUUUGAGAGCAACUUUGGGAAGCAUGCUUCAACACCGAAGGCUGCCUAGUCGUCAUGUUGAAUCUUGGUGCACGGUUUGCAACAUUUUCACAGUUUCACGUUCCUUUGAAUACAACAUUGACCUUCGUAUUUCUGGGGUUUAUUUGGUAUGCAAACUUAACGCUUUUUAUGAAGCUCUCUCUUGAAAGUGCUAUAAAGAGAAGCAUUUUUCACAUGCCGAUAUUUGGUAAGAUAUAAUAUGAAAGCAUUAUUGUAGAAUAAAAUGAGUUAAAAGUUAAUUAUUUUAAGAAAACAAAAUAGUUGUUUCACAUAAGCAGUAAAGAAGCUUUUUUACUUUAAUGCGAGAAACAUUUCUUAGUGAAUGAUGGCCAAACACAAAUUUCCACAGAAAUGCUGUUCUUAAAAAGUUGUAAAAGUGUCAUCCUUUAUCGAACAAGAUACGUAGCUUUUAUCUUUCGCUUGACAUAACCGACUUUUUUAAUUCUAACAAUUCAUUUCCCUUUGCAAGCAUCCUUUGUAACGAGUGAUUAGAAGUCACUACAAAAACUCGUAAUGUAGAUGGGGGAGCCAAAAACAUCAUGCCUACACCCAAGUGGCCGGGUGUGGGGUUAAUCAACAAACCAUGAGAUCAAAAUCAGUUAAAGUCUAUGACGACUUGCUAAAAUAAAUGA